UGGAGCUAUGUAAAAUAGAUAUUAAUUCGUUUUUGAAAGAUAUUGGUAAAAUAUAUUAAUAGUCCAUAUAAUAGAAAAUUCAGAAGGACGGAUGAGUGAUUUAGUUCUUAAAAGCGGUUAAUUACAGAAUAACGGUUAGAAUCUGGAGAAUCAAAAGAAAGUAUAUAGGAGUUGUAGAAGUUAAUUAAGGUGCCAAAUUGUGAUAGUCAUGAGCCGAGGGCCAUCGCUAUGAAAAUGUGAGCCGGGGUAAGCUUGGUGCUACUUCUUUUCUUUUAUUUGUUAUUUUCUUUGAAUAAGAGGAUUGAAAGUUUUUGAAUAUUGUGAAAUGAAUUAUGGAAUGGAAAUGUGAUUGGUAUUAUUUGAGAAGAAGAAAGAUUGAAUGCUGAAAUCUGAUUGUAGUUCAGCAGAGAGAAUGAAUUUGUAUUUGUGUGAAACACCAUAAUGUGAAUGGCAGUUCUAUGUGAAGAAUUCCACUGAUUGAAAUGAGGGUAAUUGUGUGCUGAAAGCUGUGAGGGCGUAGUAUUACAGGUUGGAGAUUAUGAGGGUGAAUAUAUUGGUGGAAAUAGCAGUUAUUGGUAUGACUGAAUUGCUGUAAGGAAGAGACCGAUAAGGUGAAGGAGGAGAUUAUAGUUUCCUUGUGUGUUCAGAUAUUAGAAAUAGAGAUGAUA
rnacentral:lncRNA from 1 species